rnacentral:lncRNA from 1 species
AGUAAAAUGAUUGUCCUUCCUAGAUGACAACAAAGUGUUUUCAUAGAGCUUGGGCUUCCUAGCACACAGUCUUUAUGGUUACUGUGGAAUUAAUAAUUUUACAGAUAGAAUUUAGAAUUUACCAAAAGUCAUCUGCAAGUUGUCUUCUGUAUAAAUAAUUCACAAUCAUGGAGGAUGUUUCCAAAUAAUUCCGUUUUAACACUUGAUUGACAGGAAGAAGAUAAAAAAGAAAGAUCUAUAUUUUAUUUCUGUGCUUCAACUGGUGUGCCAUGGAGAUUGUCAUUUGCAAUAUUCUGAAAAACAGCUGUGGUUGUCUUAAAAUUGACACUGGAAAAAAUGUUGCUGGAGAAUCACCUUGGAUGAAAACAGAGCAGUUCAAGCAGGAAUGGUGUUCUCCACGGCUCUCCACGGCUUCCCUAACACACCAGUGAGCCACGAGACCCAGGCAGAAAUUCCAGUGUGGGGAGAGUGUGAGUCAUGAGAUGGUGAGCGAAGGAAACAGCAGGAUAAAAAUAGCAGAACCCAGUGUGAUGCAGAAUUAUUAAUCUCCUGCCCUGUGUUAUCCUCGCUGUAUUACAGGCAGCGCUCUGCUGUCGUGUGGAUGCUUUGCUGCUCAAAACAGCUCCCUCCGUGCUACUCAGAAAGAUUAUGGCUCAGGAUGCCAGAUUGCAGGGACUCCUAAUCAUCAUGCCCUCAAGUUGGCUGAAAAUUCUUAAUCACGACAUUCCUGCAGUAGAAAAUAUGUAAUCAAAGUGCUGCAUUCGUAUUUUUCAUGUUGACAUGAAAAUG